GGCGUGUGUGGAUGCUGCUAAUGCGGCGGAGCCUGGGGCCUAACCAAACCGGUUAACGUUACCGGGGAACUCAAGAAACGAGGACGUGCGGUGCUGGGCAUUAUGAGCCUUACCUUCAACGGCCGGCUCCCGGAUCACUGCUGUAUCUCAUGUCAGGGUGUUUGUUCGCGUGAAACCAAGGAAUGAAGUGCUGCAACCAUGAUGCAAGGACUGAAAAAGCGUACCCGAAAGGCCUUCGGGAUACGAAAAAAAGAAAAGGACAGUGACUCCACUGGAUCACCAGACAAGGAAAAAUCAAAAAAAACUAAUGGGGCUCCUAAUGGCUUCUAUGGUGAGAUUGACUGGGAUCGAUAUAACUCUCCUGAUGUGGAUGAUGAGGGGUACAGUGUUAAACCUGGAGAACAAGGGG
rnacentral:lncRNA from 1 species